AACGAACGCUGGCGGCAUGCCUAACACAUGCAAGUCGAACGAGACCUUCGGGUCUAGUGGCGCACGGGUGCGUAACGCGUGGGGAUCUGCCCUUUGCUUCGGAAUAACAGUUAGAAAUGACUACUAAUAGCGGAUGAUGACUUCGGUCCAAAGAUUUAUCGGCAAAGGAUGAACCCGCGUAGGAUUAGCUAGUUGGUGGGGUAAAGGCCUACCAAGGCGACGAUCCUUAGCUGGUCUGAGAGGAUGAUCAGCCACACUGGGACUGAGACACGGCCCAGACUCCUACGGGAGGCAGCAGUGGGGAAUAUUGGACAAUGGGCGGAAAGACCUGAUCCAGCAAUGCCGCGUGAGUGAUGAAGGCCUUAGGGUUG
rnacentral:rRNA from 1 species